rnacentral:lncRNA from 1 species
AUGGUGGGGGUCCUGGCCAUGGCGGCGACAGCUGCUCCCCCUCUGGUGAAGGACUACGAGAUUGAGGCGUGCAAGAAGCGAAGGAAAGACGAUGACAGAACUUCUUGCAGAACAAUCACCAAGUAUUUAUCACCCAUGGAGAAGACUGGAGACAGGGUUUUCUCUCCACCCAAAUCCAAUAAUAUUCUGGAUUACUUUAGAAAGACUCCAUUCACAAAUGAGAAGACUCAGACAACAAAAAAGUGCAAGACAAAGUCAUCCACACCAUUGCCUGCUGACAGCGGCAAAGACUCUUUGGAAAUGCUCUCAAAUACACAGUGUAAGAAGAGAAGAAAGAGACUAAAUUUAUCUCAUCGACUAAGUAGUAUUAAAACUGAACAUAAAACUCCAAUUGACAUUAACAGUGAUGAGAGCAAAGAAGACUGUAGUUUAGAUAGCGAUUUUGUGGAAAGUAGUGCUUCCGCUUUACUUGACAAGAAACAUGUCGAGGUACUUGCAGAAAGUAUUCAAAGUCUCAAAAAACAGUCAAGCACUGUGACCUCCAAAAAAAGUUCCAGGAAAGUAAAUCCUAAACAUGGGCCCUCAAAAAACGAUUGCAGAACACUGAGAAAAAGGAAGCACCGAGAGGUCAUAGGUCUAUCUGAAAGCUUACCCUUAGCAGAGGAACUAAAUCUCCUUAAAAAAGAUGGUAACAAUAGUAAACAGAUAAGGCCUGCCCUAACUAAUGAAAUCGAAAGUGCUGUAAAUGAUGCUGAGCCUAGAGAUCAAAUGACUGAGAUAGCCCCAUUAAAGGAUAGUACAGUAACUGUCUCAUAUGAGGAAUUUUUAAAAAGUCACAAGGAAAAUAAAGUGGAGCAGACACCAGACUCUACAGUGUCAAUUUGUAUUCCUUCUGAAACUGUUGAGGAUACAGUCAGAAGUGGUUCUAUGAGUGACCCUGAAACCUAUGAAAUUUCCCAACAGACCCGCUUUAAAACAGUCACUGUUCUCGCGCAGGUUCACCCUAUCCCCCCCAAAAAGACAGGGAGAAUACCCUCCAUUUUCUUGAAACAAAAGCAGGUGGAAAUGGAAAGUAGUCUGUCUGAUCCUGAGAAUGAACAGGCAGUUCAGAAAAGAAAAUCUAACGUGGUUAUACACGAGGAAGAACUAGAAUUGGCGGUGUUGGAAACUGGAAGCUCUGAUGCUGUGAAACCUAAAUGCACUCCAGAAGAAAGACAACAGUUUAUGAAAGCAUUUAGGCAGCCAGUAUCAGAUACACUUAAAAAUGGAGUCAAGAAGUCUUCUGAUAAGCAGAAAGAGCUCAAUGAAAAAUCUUUAAAUGAGGAAGAAAACGAUAGUAAUUCUAAAAAAAUUGUGGAAAAUCCUAAUAUCCAAAUGGUUUCAAAUCAUGGCAGUUCACAGCCCCACAUUGAUAAAGGAAGUUUUCCUAAGGAGAAAAGUAAAACACUGAAGAAAAAGAAUAAAAAAAUGUUAGAGACUGGUGGUAUUCCAACUGAAAAUAGAGAGGGAAAUACUCAGGAAAAAGAAACAACUCUUUCCUUUAAAGAGAAGCAAAAUCAGAACAGUCUUAGAAUGAGUUUAAGACAAAAGAAAACAGAACUCAAAAACAGCACAUUGUUUAACAGGGAAAGCCUUGUUUGUGAACGUACAGCAAAUGAUGACCCUAAGAUUUCCUCUCUGUGUAAUAAUAAGUCUUCAAAAAAAACCAGCUUACCAGUUAAGGAUAAGGUUAUACAGUCUAAAGCUGAGGCUGAAGACAGCUUGGGAAAUGUUUCUACACCCAAAUCAAGCAGAAGAUCUGUAAGAAGUAGCAGCACGCCUGCUGCAAUAAUCGUCCGAGGUACUGAUUCUGAAGAUGCGCAAGAGGAUAGUCCAGUCAAAGCUUCGACUCCAAAAGCAGCCAGCUUAUCAGAGAAGCAUCGCUUAUAUACAGCGGAAUUAAUCACCAUACCUUCUGAUUCAGAGAGUCCUAUUAGAAUGAAAUUCACCAGAAUUAGUACUCCAAAAAAAUCUAAGAUAAGGUUUAAGAAAUCUGAAGCUGCUGAUGAAGAUUUUGAGACUCAGACUAGAAAGGUAAGCCGUGCUUCAAAAAAUGUAUCAAAAGCAAAACAAUUGAUUGAAAAAGCAAAAGCUUUGCAUAUUAGUAAGUCAAAAUCUACUGAAGAAGUAGUGACACCUUUAAGGCGUUCAUCUAGACAUCAGACGCUUCCUGAAAGAUCAGAAACAGAAGACUCUCUAAUAAUAAUAAGUUCAAGUCCUCCUAGUCCUCCUCCUGUAAAGCAUCCUGAGAAAAAUCAGAAGAAACUUCAGUGUCUGAAUGAUGUGUUAGGAAAAAAACUUAACAAGACUCCUAAAAAUGUCCCUGGAAAAGUGAAAGUCGCACCUUUAUUUCUUACUAGAAAGACUCAGAAGACAGCUGAUCCCACCCUUGGUUUUGAUGAAAGCAGCCAAGAUGCAUCUGAAAAGUCUCAGGAUUGUGAUGUGCAGUUUAAAGCAAAGCGUGACUUCCUCAUGAGUGGUUUGCCAGAUUUGUUGAAACGACAGAUUGCAAAGAAAGCUGCUGCGUUAGAUGUGUACAAUGCAGUGAGCUCCAGUUUCCAGAGAGUCCUUCAUGUUCAGCAAAAAGACCAUGGGUGCCAUUUGUGGCGUUUGAAACCACCCACUUGUCCUCUCUUAACUAAACUUAAAGAACUAAAUACUAAAGUAAUAGAUCUCUCAAAAUGUGUUAUGGCUCUUGGUGAAUUUUCAACAUUGAAUUCAAAUUCGAAAAGUAGUAAUUCCACUGUUGUGUUUAUGGGGAGAAGGAAAGAUUUGACUGAAGAAGCAAGAAAUCUUUUGUUGGAGGAAAUUAGGUGGUCAAAUCCCAGAUUUCCUUUGAGGAAAUACUUCUCUUUGCUUCUAAAAAAGCGAACUGAGCACCAGGUACUUUCUGAGUGUCAUUGUAAACAAGAAAGUCCACAACUUGAACCCAUUGUCAGCCGAAAAGAAACCAAAAGGAAACGAGUGGAAAUGGAAAACCAUAAAUCCAAAAGAAGGAAACCAAAUGAAUAUUUAGAAAGUCCAAGAAAGAUAAAUGGGAAACCAGAAGAACUUGACAAAAGAAACAACUCCAGUGGGAUAAAGCUAGAUUCUUCCAAAGGUUUGUUUCCUAAAACAUCCAGGAAGAAACAAACAGCUUUGAAUACAAGGUGUAAAGUGGAAACAACAGUAGAAGAUCCUGAUGUUCUGAUAAUAGAUGAUGACAAAGAGUCUUCAUCAGAAGGGUCUUCUAUUCCAGAUUCUGGAAUUGAAGACAUGCUUUGGACGGAAAAGUAUCAACCUCAGAACUCCAGUGAACUCAUAGGCAAUGAGCUAGCUAUAAAAAAGUUACAUAGUUGGUUGAAAGACUGGAAAAGAAGAGCUGAAUUAGAAGAAGGACAGAAUUUGAAGGGAAAAAGAGACGAGAAACAGGAAGAUUCGUUGGAUAGCAGAGACUUCAAAGGCAGUUCAGAUGAUGAAGAAGAAAAUCGCCUUUGUAAUACCGUUCUUAUAACAGGGCCAACAGGCGUGGGGAAGACUGCUGCGGUAUAUGCUUGUGCCCAAGAACUUGGAUUUAAGAUAUUUGAAGUGAAUGCCUCUUCUCAGCGCAGUGGUAGACAAAUUCUGUCUCAGCUGAAGGAAGCUACUCAGUCUCAUCAAGUAGACAAGCAAGGUGUCAACUCACAGAAACCCUGCUUUUUUAAUAGCUACAAUAUCGGCAGGUCACCAAAAAAAUUAUGCUCCCCCAAGAAGGUUGUUACUUCACCAAGAAAACUUCCUCCGCCAUCACCGCAAAGUAGUGGACCAAAGCGAACACUUCCACCUAAAACUUUGGCAAAUUAUUUUAAAGUGUCUUCUAAGCCAAAAAAUAAUGAACAAAUAGGAGCACUUCUGGAAAAUAAUAAAGGAAUCAAAAAUUCUUUUGAACAGAAACAAAUCAUUCAGACUAAAUCUACAAACACAGCUAAUUCAAAUGUCAAAGAGUUUGGGGCUGAGGAACCCAACAGAAAAAAUGCAACAUCCCUCAUUCUUUUUGAGGAGGUUGAUGUCAUUUUCGAAGAAGAUGCUGGAUUUUUGAAUGCAAUCAAAACAUUCAUGGCAACCACGAAAAGACCUGUAAUCCUUACAACAAGUGAUCCAACAUUUAGUUUAAUGUUUGAUGGCUGCUUUGAAGAAAUUAAUUUUAAUACUCCUUCACUGCUAAAUGUUGCCAGCUACCUACAGAUGAUCUGCUUGACUGAAAAUUUCAGAACUGAUGUAAAGGAUUUUGUAACAUUGCUAACUGCAAACACUUGUGAUAUCAGGAAAAGUAUCCUUUACUUACAGUUCUGGAUUAGAAGUGGAGGUGGAUUUUUAGAAGAAAGGCCAUUAUCUCUUUGUCGAGGAAAUAGCAGAAAUGUACCACUUGUUUGUUCUGAAGAUGACCCUGAUUCCAAAAGUAACCCUAAAAAUACAAAAAGGAAUCCAACAGACCUUCCCAAAUGUGACACUGGUUGUGCUGAGACCUUGUUUGGCCUUAAGAACAUUUUUUCCCCAUCUGAAGACUUAUUUUCAUUUUUGAAGCACAAAAUCAGAACAAAGGAAGACUGGCAUAAGCUCAUCCACCUUCUUACAGAAUUCCAAAUGCAGAAUGUGGAUUUCUUAUAUAGUAAUCUUGAGUUCAUUCUACCACUACCUGUUGAUAUCAUUCCAGAAACAGAAAACUCUUCUGUUCCAUCAAUAAAUGUGGACCCCAAUGCAGCAACAGAAAACAUGAGAUGCCUCGCUGGGACACCUUUUGGAAGAGAGAAGCCUUUGAAAAAGUCACCAAAAAAGAAACAUAAGAAAAAGAUUGUAACUUUAGAUGAUAGUGACUUAUUUGACAGUGAAUUGGACAUUUCUGGUGAAUGUAUUAGUCUCUACUCUGCAUCUUCAAAUUUAGAAGAAAGGAAAGCCAGAGAUAAAGAAAGCAAUCCGGAGACAAAGAAACUAAACAAACGUCUAGAGUCAAACGUUGAGUCUAUUCCUCGUCCUCCUCCAACACCAGCAGAAAAAAAAUGUUCUGCCCUUGUCUCUCACUGUUUAAAUUCUCUCACUGAGCUCAUGGACAACAUGUCCUUCUUAGAUGCCCUUCUAAUGGAUGUACGGGAACAAAGGGAGUUUGGUAAAGAUGAUUUUGGUUGGACAAAUGGAAAGGUUAAAAGUGGACUUUGUGAUGAGUUUAGUCUCGAGAGUAGUGAUGGAUGGACUUCUCAAAGAUCUGGAGAAAUAAAGGCGGCUGUAGAAGCUCUCAGCUUUACUAAAUGUUCUUCUGCUAUUUCAAAAGCAUUGGAAACUUCUCUGAAUUCUUGCAAGAAAUUAGGAAGAGAUCCCACAAAAGAGCUUACUUUUUAUAUUUCUCAAAGACGCAACAAUGUGUGCUUCAGUCAGUCUGCAGCUAAUUUAGACAGUGCUUGGCAGAGGGUAGCAGUCAUCAAAAGUGUAUUUUCCAGCCGAUCUCUUCUGAACCUGGGUAAUAGACAAGCCAGUAUAAUUGAAUACUUGCCAACUCUUCGAAACAUCUGUAGGACUGAGAAGCUAAAGGAACAAGGAAAAAGUAAAAGAAGAUUCCUGCACUAUCUUGAAGGAAUUCAUCUUAACAUUUCAAAAGAGACUAUGAACACUUUGGCAGCUGAGUUCCCUUAAUAUUCUACAUUACCAAUGCCUUCUACGGAGUCUCAUGUGGCUCUCAAGAUAAAUUUUUAUAUUGAUGUUC